GGAAGUGUGCCCGAAUCUCAAGGACUACUUUGAUAGAGUAUGACACAGGGGUUAAAAUCCCCUCACCUCC
rnacentral:tRNA from 1 species